ensembl:snRNA U6 U6 spliceosomal RNA
GGGCUCGCUGCAGAGAACAUAUACUGAAACUGGAAUGAUACAAGAUUAGCACGGCUCCUGCACAAGGCUGACACGCAAAUUCGUGAAGCAUUCCAUAUUUAA